rnacentral:lncRNA from 1 species
CCAAGUAGGAUGACAAGAGUCUUUUGGGGGAGCCUUUGCAUGAAUCCUCAAGGCAUGCUGACAGUAACAGCUGAGUGCACUGGCUAAAUUUACUUUGUGCAAAUGAAAAGCUGGUAGCAGAUUUGAAAUCUUUUCUUGCUUGUUUUGACAAGGAUGGACUAGGACUCAAAAUGAAGGACACAAUGAUGCAAAGAAACGAGUAUUAACAAGAAAUGCCCCCUGUCGGAAGGACAGAAGGAAGAGUUUUUUUUCUUCAUUUUUUAAUAACUAGCCUUAAUGGUUAUGAUAUGCAUUUUGGAUUCAACGGCCUGAUCUAUCAAACUAAUCCAAUCUUCUCUUUUACCAUUCUUAUGACCUUUAAAGUCGGCCUUGUUCGUGCCAAUCCUUUGUAUCAACUUCAUACCUCACUUUCGACUAGUGGUGCCUGAGGGAUUUUCACCAGCAAGUCUCUCUCAUUUAUUGAUCUCCGCUUACAGUUGUCUUACAGUGCCCUUAAGGAUUUUCACUAAUAAGGCUCUCUCAUUUUCCUCUUCUUUUUCUUUUUCUUUUUCUUUUGCUUUUGUUUUUCUUAUGCGAGCAUCUUGACAAUGUUCUAUGUCGCGUGACAACUGUUUCUCAUUGGAUGCUUUUCUUGGCAUUCUUGAAGGCAUACCAGGAGAUCUUUAUUUGGAAGGAUUUUGGAUAGGGUUGGAAAGAAAGGUCGGCAUGAAAGCUCAAAGUAAACUCAAAAUGAGGGGUUAUGGACUUACAACUCUUGGAAUCG